UACGUAGGGGCCAAGCGUUGUCCGGAUUUAUUGGGCGUAAAGAGCUCGUAGGCGGUUGGGUAAGUCGGGUGUGAAAACUCCAGGCUCAACUUGGAGAUGCCACCCGAUACUGCUCUGACUUGAGUUCGGUAGGGGAGUGGGGAAUUCCUGGUGUAGCGGUGAAAUGCGCAGAUAUCAGGAGGAACACCGGUGGCGAAGGCGCCACUCUGGGCCGAAACUGACGCUGAGGAGCGAAAGCGUGGGUAGCGAACGGG
rnacentral:rRNA from 1 species